rnacentral:misc_RNA from 1 species
CAGGACUCGCAAGACUCCCGUAAACCACUGUGAACUUACCUACAACCCGUUGCCUCGGCGGGUGCUCCGGGCGCGUCUUCGGGCGCUCCGGGGCGCUCCAGCCCGCCGGCGGCCCCUAAACUCUGUCUCUGUAACGUUGGCAUCUCCGAGCAGACUAUAAACGAGUCA